GGUCUUAACAGAAAACAUACCUGGAAUACCUCAAUCUGCGUCGCGACCUGCUAGAAAAAAAGAAAAGGCGACAUUAGACAUACACAAAGGUCUUAACAGAAAACAUACCUGGAAUUCCUCAAUCUGCGUCGCGACCUGCUAGAAAAAAAAGAAAAGGCGACAUUAGACAUACACAAAGGUCUUAACAGAAAACAUACCUGCGAAUUUCCAAUCUGCGUCAAGCCCUGCAGAAAAAAGAAAAGACAACAUUAGACAUACACAAAGGUCUUAACAGAAAACAUACCUGAAAAUCCUCAAUCUGCGUCGCGCCCUGCAAAAAAAAAAAAAAGGCCACACAACCUAAAGGAAUUUCCAAUCUGCGUCAAGACCUGCUAGAAAAAAAGAAAAGGCGAAAUUAGACAUACACAAAGGUCUUAACAGAAAACAUACCUGAAAAUCCUCAAUCUGCAUCGCGCCCUGCUAGAAAAAAAGAAAAGUCGACAUUAGACAUACACAAAGGCCUUAACAGAAAACAUACCUGAAUCUCAAUCUGCGUCGCGCCCUGCUAGAAAAAAAAGAAAAGACAACAUUAGACAUACACAAAGGUCUUAACAGAAAACAUACCUGGGAAUCCUCAAUCUGCGUCGCGCCCUGCUAGAAAAAAAAGAAAAGACAACAUUAGACAUACACAAAGGUCUUAACAGAAAACAUACCUGGAAUCCUCAAUCUGCGUCGCGCCCUGCCAGAAAAAAAAAGAAAAGGCAACAUUAGACAUACACAAAGGUCUUAACAGAAAACAUACCUGCGAAUCUCCAAUCUGCGUCGCGCCCUGCUAGAAAAAAAGAAAAGACAACAUUAGACAUACACAAAGGUCUUAACAGAAAACAUACCUGAAAAUCCUCAAUCUGCGUCGCGCCCUGCUAGAAAAAAAAGAAAAGACAACAUUAGACAUACACAAAGGUCUUAACAGAAAACAUACCUGGAAUUCCUCAAUCUGUCGUUCGCGACCUGCUAGAAAAAAAGAAAAGGACAACAUUAGACAUACACAAAGGUCUUAACAGAAAACAUACCUGGGAAUCCUCAAUCUGCGUCACGCCCUGCUAGAAAAAAGAAAAGGCGAAAUUAGACAUACACAAAGGUCUUAACAGAAAACAUACCUGAAAAUCCUCAAUCUGCGUCGCGCCCUGCAAAAAAAAAAGGCCACACGACCUAAAGGAAAAAAAAAAAGAAAUCAUUAGACAUACACAAAGGUCUUAACAGAAAACAUACCUGAAAAUCCUCAAUCUGCGUCGCGCCCUGCUAGAAAAAAAGAAAAGGCGACAUUAGACAUACACAAAGGCCUUAACAGAAAACAUACCUUCGAAUCUUCAAUCUGCAUCGCGCCCUGCUGGAAAAAAAAGAAAAGGUGACAUUAGACAUACUCAAAGGCCUUAACAGAAAACAUACCUGGAAUUCCUCAAUCUGCGUCGCGCCCUGCUAGAAAAAAAAGAAAGACAACAUUAGACAUACACAAAGGUCUUAACAGAAAACAUACCUGAAAAUCCUCAAUCUGUCGGCGCCCUGCUAAAAAAAAAAAAGGCCACAUGACCUAAGGAAUUUCUCAAUCUGCGUCAAGACCUGCUAGAAAAAAAGAAAAGGCGACAUUAGACAUACACAAAGGUCUUAACAGAAAACAUACCUGGAAUUCCUCAAUCUGCGUCGCGCCCUGCUAGAAAAAAAGAAAAGGCGACAUUAGACAUACACAAAGGUCUUAACAGAAAACAUACCUGGAAUUCCUCAAUCUGCGUCGCGACCUGCUAGAAAAAAAGAAAAGGCGACAUUAGACAUACACAAAGGCCUUAACAGAAAACAUACCUUCGAAUCUCAAUCUGCGUCGCGUCCUGCUAGAAAAAAAGAAAAGGCAACAUUAGACAUACACAAAGUCUUAACAGAAAACAUACCUGGAAUUCCUUAAUCUGCGUCGCGCCCUGCCAGAAAAAGAAAAGGCGACAUUAGACAUACACAAAAACCUUAACAGAAAACAUACCUGAAAAUCCUCAAUCUGCGUCGUGCCCUGCCAGAAAAAAAGAAAAGGCAACAUUAAACAUACACAAAGGUCUUAACAGAAAACAUACCUGAAAAUCCUCAAUCUGCGUCGCGCCCUGCUAGAAAAAAAGAAAAGGCGACAUUAGACAUACACAAAGGCCUUACCAGAAAACAUACCUGAAAAUCCUCAAUCUGCGUCUCGCCCUGCUAGAAAAAAGGAAAAGGCGACAUUAGACAUACACAAAGGCCUUAACGGAAAACAUACCUGCGAAUCUCCAAUCUGUGUCGCGCCCUGCCAGAAAAAAAGAAAAGGCAACAUUAGACGUACACCAAGGUCUUAACAGAUAACAUACCUGAAAAUCCUCAAUCUGCGUCGCGCCCUGCCAGAAAAAAAGAAAAGGCAACAUGAGACAUACACGAAGGCCUUAACAGAAAACAUACCGUCAAAUGUGACAUAGGCCACACCACCUAAAGGAAAAAAUGGAACCAUUAGACAUACACAAAGGCCUUAACAGAAAACAUACCUGCGAAUCUUCAAUCUGCAUCGUGCCCUGCCAGAAAAAAGAAAAGGCCACAUUUGACAUACACAAAGGCCUUAACAGAAAACAUACCUGGAAAUCCUCAAUCUGCGUCGCGCCCUGCUAGAAAAAAAAAAAAAAAAGGCCACACGACUAAAGGAAUUCUCAAUCUGCGUCAAGACCUGCUAGAAAAAAAGAAAAGACAACAUUAGACAUACACAAAGGCCUUAACAGAAAACAUACCUGCAAAUGUCCCAUAGGCCACAUGACCUAAAGGAAAAAAAAGGAACCAUUUGACAUACACAAAGGUCUUAACAGAAAACAUACCUGGGAAUCUCCAAUCUGCGUCGCGCCCUGCUAGAAAAAAAGAAAAGACAACAUUAGACAUACACAAAGGUCUUAACAGAAAACAUACCUGGAAAAUCCUCAAUCUGCGUCGCGCCCUGCUAGAAAAAAAGAAAAGGCAAAUUAGACAUACACAAAGGUCUUAACAGAAAACAUACCUGGAAUUCCUCAAUCUGCGUCGCGCCCUGCUAGAAAAAAAGAAAAGGCGACAUUAGACAUACACAAAGGCUUUAACAGAAAACAUACCUUCGAAUCUUCAAUCUGCGUCGCGCUCUGCUGGGAAAAAAAAGAAAAGGUGACAUUAGACAUACUCAAAGGCCUUAACAGAAAACAUACCUGAAAAUCCUCAAUCUGCGUCGGGCCCUGCAAAAAAAAAAAAGGCCACACCACCUAAAGGAAAAAAAAAGGAACCAUUAGACAUACACAAAGGUCUUAACAGAAAACAUACCUGGAAUACCUCAAUCUGCGUCGCACCCUGCUAGAAAAAAAGAAAAGACAACAUUAGACAUACACAAAGGUCUAAACAGAAAACAUACCUGGAAUUCCUCAAUCUGCGUCGCGACCUGCUAGAAAAAAGAAAAGGCGACAUUAGACAUACACAAAGGCCUUAACAGAAAACAUACCUGCGAAUCUCAAUCUGCGUCGCGCCCUGCCAGAAAAAAAGAAAAAGACAACAAUAAAGACAUACACAAAGGUCUUAACAGAAAACAUACCUGGAAUUCCUCAAUCUGCGUCGCCACCUGCUAGAAAAAAAGAAAAGGCGAAAUUAGACAUACACAAAGGUCUUAACAGAAAACAUACCUGAAAAUCCUCAAUCUGCAUCGCGCCCUGCUAGAAAAAAAGAAAAGUCGACAUUAGACAUACACAAAGGCCUUAACAGAAAACAUACCUUCGAAUCUUCAAUCUGCGUCGCGCCCUGCUGGAAAAAAAAAGAAAAGGUGACAUUAGACAUACUCAAAGGCCUUAACAGAAAACAUACCUGAAAAUCCUCAAUCUGCGUCGCGCCCUGCUAAAAAAAAAAAAAAGGCCACACGACCUAAAGGAAUUUCCAAUCUGCGUCAAGACCUGCUAGAAAAAAAGAAAAGGCGACAUUAGACAUACACAAAGGUCUUAAGAGAAAACAUACCUGGAAUACCUCAAUCUGCGUCGCGACCCUGCUAGAAAAAAAGAAAAGGCGACAUUAGACAUACACAAAGGUCUUAACAGAAAACAUACCUGGAAUUCCUCAAUCUGCGUCGCGACCUGCUAGAAAAAAAGAAAAGGCAACAUUAGACAUACACAAAGGUCUUAACAGAAAACAUACCUGGAAUCCUCAAUCUGCGUCGCGCCCUGCUAGAAAAAAGAAAAGACAACAUUAGACAUACACAAAGGUCUUAACAGAAAACAUACCUGAAAAUCCUCAAUCUGCGUCGCGCCCUGCUAGAAAAAAAGAAAAGACAACAUUAGACAUACACAAAGGUCUUAACAGAAAACAUACCUGGAAUUCCUCAAUCUGCGUCGCGACCUGCUAGAAAAAAAGAAAAGGCGUGAACAUUAGACAUACACAAAGGUCUUAACAGAAAACAUACCUGCGAAUCCUCAAUCUGCGUCGCGCCCUGCUAGAAAAAAAAGAAAAGACAACAUUAGACAUACACAAAGGUCUUAACAGAAAACAUACCUGAAAAUCCUCAAUCUGCGUCGCGCCCUGCCAAAAAAAAAGAAAAGCCCACAGACUAAAGGAAAAAAAAGGAACCAUUAGACAUACACAAAGGUCUUAACAGAAAACAUACCUGGAAUACCUCAAUCUGCGUCGCACCCUGCUAGAAAAAAAGAAAAGACAACAUUAGACAUACACAAAGGUCUUAAACAGAAAACAUACCUGGAAUUCCUCAAUCUGCGUCGCGACCUGCUAGAAAAAAAGAAAAGGCGACAUUAGACAUACACAAAGGUCUUAACAGAAAACAUACUACCUGCGAAUCCUGCAAUCUGCGUCGCGCCCUGCAGAAAAAAAAGAAAAGACAACAUUAGACAUACACAAAGGUCUUAACAGAAAACAUACCUGAAAAUCCUCAAUCUGCGUCGCGCCCUGCUAAAAAAAAAAAAAAGGCCACAUGACCUAAAGGAAUUUCCAAUCUGCGUCAAGACCUGCUAGAAAAAAAGAAAAGGCGAAAUUAGACAUACACAAAGGUCUUAACAGAAAACAUACCUGAAAAUCCUCAAUCUGCAUCGCGCCCUGCUAGAAAAAAAGAAAAGUCGACAUUAGACAUACACAAAGGCCUUAACAGAAAACAUACCUUGAAUCUCCAAUCUGCGUCGCGCCCUGCUAGAAAAAAAGAAAAGACAACAUUAGACAUACACAAAGGUCUUAACAGAAAACAUACCUGGAAUCCUCAAUCUGCGUCGCGCCCUGCUAGAAAAAAAAGAAAAGGCGCAAUUAGACAUACACAAAGGUCUUAACAGAAAACAUACCUGGGAAUCCUCAAUCUGCGUCGCGCCCUGCUAGAAAAAAAGAAAAGACAACAUUAGACAUACACAAAGGUCUUAACAGAAAACAUACCUGAAAAUCCUCAAUCUGCGUCAUAAAAAAAAGAAAGGCCACACGACCUAAAGGAAAAAAAAAGAAACAUUAGACAUACACAAAGGUCUUAACAGAAAACAUACCUGGAAUCCUCAAUCUGCGUCGCACCCUGCUAGAAAAAAAGAAAAGACAACAUUAGACAUACACAAAGGUCUUAACAGAAAACAUACCUGGAAUUCCUCAAUCUGCGUCGCGACCUGCUAGAAAAAAAGAAAAGGCAACAUUAGACAUACACAAAGGUCUUAACAGAAAACAUACCUGCGAAUCCUCAAUCUGCGUCGCGCCCUGCUAGAAAAAAAGAAAAGGCGAAAUUAGACAUACACAAAGGUCUUAACAGAAAACAUACCUGGAAUCCUCAAUCUGCGUCGCCCCUGCUAGAAAAAAAGAAAAGGCGAAAUUAGACAUACACAAAGGUCUUAACAGAAAACAUACCUGGAAUUCCUCAAUCUGCGUCGCGCCCUGCUAGAAAAAAAGAAAAGGCGACAUUAGACAUACACAAAGGUCUUAACAGAAAACAUACCUGCGAAUCUUCAAUCUGCGUCGCGCUCUGCUGGGAAAAAAAAGAAAAGACAACAUUAGACAUACACAAAGGUCUUAACAGAAAACAUACCUGGAAAUCCUCAAUCUGCGUCGCGCCCUGCUAAAAAAAAAAAAAGGCCACACGACCUAAAGGCAAUCUGCGUCAAGACCUGCUAGAAAAAAAGAAAAGGCGACAUUAGACAUACACAAAGGUCUUAACAGAAAACAUACCUGGAAUUCCUCAAUCUGCGUCGCGACCUGCUAGAAAAAAAGAAAAGGCGACAUUAGACAUACACAAAGGUCUUAACAGAAAACAUACCUGGAAUUCCUCAAUCUGCGUCGCGCCCUGCUAGAAAAAAAGAAAAGGCAACAUUAGACAUACACAAAGGUCUUAACAGAAAACAUACCUGAAAAUCCUCAAUCUGCGUCGCGCCCUGCUAGAAAAAAAGAAAAGGCAACAUUAGACAUACACAAAGGUCUUAACAGAAAACAUACCUUCGAAUCUUCAAUCUGCGUCGCGUCCUGCUGGAAAAAAAAAGAAAAGGUGACAUUAGACAUACUCA
rnacentral:lncRNA from 1 species